CUUGAAUUAACAACGGUCAAUAAUCAAAAGGGCAUUAGAAUGUGAGUUGGGCUGUGGAGGGACCACCCCAAAUCUACUUCUCUGUAGUAUUGAACCCAGGGGCCUCACUUUGCUUCGCUGCAAUUCUGUGGUUUUUAAUUUAUCAUUUCCAGGAUCUGGGGGUUUCUUCAAGCUCCCAGACUUGCUCAGGCACAUUGCAAAUAGCCAUGAUUUGAGAUGAUUUUCUUUAAUGCUGAAGCAGAUGAAGAACCCAGGUUCUUUUUAGUGGCAAGGCUUGUUUAUCAGCAGCUAUACAGCUAUGGGCACAGACACAGGUAAACAGCACAGAUGCUGGGAGAGGGCUGGCAUCUGACCGUGACCAUCACGCCCAUGUGACAAAGGAUGUCACCACAGUGAACAGUUCUGACCACAGUGGCUUUUCACCUGCUUCGUUAAAUUUAACUCACACCGGCUCAGAGGACAAUUUGAUUCAUUCUGUAUCUCAGCAGAAACCAGAGCACCUCAGAAGAUCAAGGCUUCCAAAUUCUCCUGGGGGAACAGACGUCAGCCAUUCAGCACAAAGGAAACUUCCUUCUCUGUAUGUCAGAGGAAGACAUAAUUGUGCCAUUUCCUUCUUGAAGAAGUUUACAAACAUUUGCAAGUUGUCAAAAAUAAUUAGUCUAAAAUUGUUUCAUAAACCGUGGAAUGAAACAGGACGUGCCUUGUUGAGAUCAAAGGGCUUCUGUUACCUUCUUGUAAACUCAAAUGAAAUUCUUUUGAAAGUAAACUCUUGGAAUUAGCAGUGGUUUUUGUGGCACAUGUAUGGCAGGGGGAGGGGAGCAGAAUGAUUCAGAUAGCAGAGUCCAGGGGAGAGCCGGGAGGAGUAAAGCCCUGUCCACAGAGAAUGGGAAUGGGUCUUGAACAGCCAUGGUGAUCUGUGCCAGUGGGCACAGGACUUCUUCAACGGGAAGCUCAGGCAUUCAGGAAACACUCAUUUCGGUGAUCUUGAACUUGCAAGAGUGAGAGUGGGCAUGGACACUCACAGUUCUACAAACAAAGUAAGAACUGGGGCUUGUGAGUCAGUCAGACUGAGUUUCCAUUCCAGCACCGCCGGCUCCUACAAGCAGGCCCUGGAGAAGCCACUUCACCUCCGCGUCUCAGGCCACUCACCUCCAAAGACAGAUGCAAACUCCGCCUCCCUCCUCGGUGAGAGUUGUAGGUCCUGGAGCGUAUUCACUUUGCAUAG
rnacentral:lncRNA from 10 species